GCAGCUUCCAGAGGGCCUUUCUUCUGAGCGGCACAACCCCAGUUUGCCAAUGUGGAGACCAAGGCACUGCAGGCACAACUUCUGAGAGGAGACCCACAAUAACUGAGAAAUGAGGCUCUGUCACCAGGGUCCUGCCUCUGUCACAGUCGUACGUCAAGGUGAGCCGCAUAAAGUCACAAUCCAUAAGAAGCCAAGACUCUGGAGGGAGCUGAGGUUAUGAUGGGGGCUUUCUCCGAAAAUAAGAGGCAAAGCAACACAACUACCUCUUCUAAGAUGAGAGCUAAGGUGGGAACCAGUGUGAAUUAAUCAAUAAUAAGUUAAUUGUACAUUUAAAGAUAACUAAGAGUAUAAUUGGAUUGUUUGUAACACAAAAGAUAAAUGCUUGAGGGGAUGGAUAUCCCAUUCUCCACGAUGUGAUUAUUAAGCAUCACAUACCUAUAUUAAAACAUCACAUACCCCAUAAAUAUAUACAUCUACUAUGUAUCCACAAAAGUUAAAAAUAUUUUUUAAAAAACAAAACAAAAAAAACCAAUAGUGUAAGGUGCCAAAACCAGGUGGAAAAAGCAAAUGUAAAAAAACAGAAUUAGGACCUUGUGAUAAAAUUCUCAGUAACUGUUCACUGUGUUUGACUAAAAAUGGGUAGCAUGCUUCCAAACUGCUUUCACAUACAGGAAGUCAUAUCCUGAGCCCAUUAACCUGCUACUCUCCAUCUCUACAGGAUGGGAACUGCAGUCAGGGUGACUGAUCAGUUAGGGCAAAGGCUGAAGUAAGCCCAGGUGUGCACUAGUGAUGCUGCAUUAGGAUCUUCACUCACUUUCCCUCCUUCAUUACAGCCUGUGAUUUCUAACUAACUGAGGUGGCUGAGGCACAGACUGGUUUUGGGAUCCCCCCGAGGGCAUGCUGCUAGCAAAUAAACACCCAGAAUUAGAGCCCACAUUUAUCUGAACCCUACAGAAUCCCAAAGCACCUGAGGCACUCCAUCCCACACAGGGAGUGUGGGAUGGUAUCUAUUUAGUUCCAACCACCAUCCCACACUGCCUGAGGAAAACAAGACAUCACCUCCCCAAAACAAGAAGAAAAAACUCAUAACCAUCCAUGUCUGGUCAGUUCCUUCAGACUGAGUUAAAAGAUUAAUAUAAAAUAGGAGUCAGCAAACUUCAGCCAGUAGCCUCUUUUUAUGUAGCCUGGGAGACACACAGGUUUUACAUUUUAAGAGGGUGGUUAAAAGGAGGAGGAAGAGGAAGGGGAGGAGGCUGAUGAUACCCCAUAGAGACUCCAUGUGGCCCACAAAGCCUAACAGUUAUUAUCUGGUCCUUUAUAGAAAAAGUUUGGCAUGUCCUGGUUUAAAACAUUUCAAUAUAAUAAUACUGUUGAUCCCACAUCCCAUUUGUUAGACUCCACUUCAAAUUAAAAUCAGCUUAGCAAAUAGGUACUAAGUGCUUGCUAUGAGCAAGGCACCACACUGGGUACUAUUUUAAAUUUUGCUAUUGAAUAUGUUGCCAGGUUAAUGCUCAGUAGCCACAAGCAUUUUCUGGUAAGUGAUAUCCACAUGUCAGGUCAGUCACAGGGUGAACUCGGGGCCCCUUCCACUCCCCAGCGGAGUGGGUAUUUAUCUGGUUACCUUCACUUACGGGAUGGAGUGUGCCACCCCAUUUGGCAGGAGGGACAAACUAUGGUAAUCACCACAGGCUAGACCUCAAGGCUGCACCCUCACCUUCAAAGGAUGAGAAGGGUGGAACAGCUUGAGGCCUGAUCUUCCAACUUUCCAGCCCUCCCCACAAGCUGAAGGCUCUUCAGCUCUUAUUUUGAUGGACACUUCAUACACCAUCACCUCUUCUCCUCCAGUCCUCCAUGGAAGGGGACUUCAAUCCAAGGUGGGCUGAGGGUAACUUGCAAUGCCCUUAAAAGUUAGGAAAAACUUAGAACUAAAUAGAUACCAUACACUUAAUUACUAAACAACACAGAACGGCAGAACUUAACACAGAAUGGCAGAACGUUAACACGAAUACAGACUAAGUAGAAAAGAAUGUUUUAAAGCGCACCAACCGUAACAGGCACACUCAAGACUUCAUGAAAGUAGUAUAAUUGCAACAUAUGGAGAAGGGAGAUGUCUGUGUGAUAUUCUUCCUAAGGAACAUUAAAGAAGCAGUAAAUAUUACAUUCUAUACUAGUCUACCAUGUGGCACACAAAUUCACCAGUAAAGAUAAAAUCCUCUACUUCAUUUUCAAGGGCUAAAGGUAGGCUUUUGUUGUAGGAGCCUUGGAUAAAGCAGAGGUAUUGAGAGAGAAUUCAAAUUUGUGAUGUUUCUUAUUUCAUGCAAUAUACACAAAAAGUAGCCUUAAUGUUCUACGGGGCGUGUAAGCUAGUCAGAGGUAGUUUAUUAAAAAAUCAAAUAACAUGCUCCCCGGCCCUUGCUUAUUAUGGUUUUCAAUCUACUCCAGGUUUCCGGAAUCCUUAAGGCCAAAAUAAUUAAGGGCAAAGAGGGAAAAAUAGAACUCUUUCAAACACACCAGUCACAUUAUUUUCAGACAUUCAAGAUAGAAGAGGAUUCUGCUCUACCUCAAUGUUUUUGCACAGAUGCCCACAGAAGCUGACGUCGCCAACAAGAUAACAGUACCAAUUCCAGCCGUUCUUGACAGUUUCCGACAGCUCUCCUAUUUAAUGAGGAUGUCAAAGUUAACAGUAAUUCAUUGAAUCCAAAAAGCUAAGGUCUGAGGGAUAUUUUUUCUUUUAAACCAGAAAGACACAAAGACCAGAAAGAGGGGGAGUCAAAAGACUUAAAGCCACCACACAGAGCUGUCUACUAUGCAUGCACAGUAUAGCACUGACUAAUCCCUGAAUGAAUUAUGGAAGCUCCCAUCUAAGAUAAGCUAAGAUACAGAAGUCCUCCAAAUCAGACUAUACAGAAUGUAUAAAUUUAUCUGCAAAGGAUUAGCAUUUUGGAAUAAAGAAAGCCACAGCAAUGCCAAGUUAUCACUUGAAACUAUAGAAUUAUGACAAGAUUCCACUUAAUGAGAAGAGGAAUUAUAUUUAAAAAUAAAUGAACAUAAAUACAAAAGGAUUUAAAAAUUGGCUUCUGUUCUGAAGAACAUUACACAUGAGUCACCUAAACCCUUUUUGGCCAGUGACCAUAACCCAUUGUAGAAAAGUUCAGGGUUGAAACGACAGAUUGAUAAAUUAAAUACGACUGUCUCAAUUCGAGUGCCAAACUCCACAAUCACAGUUGUCUACGCAAGUAAGCCACGGACUACCAAUGUGUGUUUGGGGAGGAGUGGGGUAAAGUCGUCUCCAAACCACACUUGGAUUUCAGAAGUCACGAACAACUGUGACAAGAUCAAAAAACAAAAUGUAUAAUUUUAUACUGACAAGCCCCUCCCUGAUUUAGAAAAUUCUGAAACUAAAGAAUUUUAAAGUUUAGCACUAUUUUCUAAGUGAUAUCAUAUCCCAAUGUGUAACUCAAAAUUUCACUUCUCACAGAGUAUUCUUCAUUCAGGAAGUAAUUUAUUGAAUGAUAGGCUGACCCAAUCCACGGUUAUAUUUUCAACUCAGCCAACUAUUCCACUGCCUGAAAAAUUAUUCCAGGCAGAACACUAAUACCCAACAUUCAGCCAUAAAGGUCGCCUGUCAUUUUUUCAUCUUGGAUUAGUCCACAGCAACCAUUUAUCGAGUAACUAAUAUAAGGACACUGGGAAGGACAUCUAAAAGCAUUAAGAGUUCUCUCUUUAAAAAUGUAAGGAGUAAUUUCUGACUCCAUGAGAGCUCACAGCAUUAGACAAUUGAUACUCAGCUACCAUUCAAUUAUUUUAAAGAUAUCUUAACAUGUAAAAGAGAAAGUUAUUACACAUAGGGUCAAACACUGAAAAACACUUCUGCUAAUUUCCUUUGUGGCUUUCCUCAACCUCACACAUAAAAUGGUUAUACAAGAUUUCUUUCAAAGCCAAAUACUACAGAGUUUUGGUGGACAAAUCCUGUAAGUACCCAAUGUACAUUGCCUUGUUUUAAUAGAGGAGGACAGAAAAACUGGAGGAAAAAAUGACCUCAGAUUCAACCCCAAGAUGACUAGCCAACAGGCAGGGUAGCACCAUAAGAUCCCUCACACUCAUCAGAAGAGGGCAGGGCAGUUGACAGUUCAUAGAACACAAGAGUAUUCUGUGUUGUUACUUUAAAUCAAAACCUAUUUUGCAUUAUAGGAACACUAACCAAAGCUUUAAACACACUUUUAUACAAGACAAUGUAUGGUCUUGGUCAUAUUGAAUCUUCUAAGCUUAAAACUGGUCAUCUGUCUAAAUUUAAUUUUCUUCAAAUGAAAAAGGAAAGUUUUGAACAAGAGGGCAUAAAUGGGGAGAUCUGAUUUUUCUGUUGUUCUAUUAAUUUUGGAAAUGUAAACCUCUUGCAGUGUUGCUAAACUUAAAUGUAAAUCUCUUCCCAUAAAACGGAAUACAGAUCUUUAUAACAUCCAUGAAUGCAUCCACUUGCAAGCCUCCCACCCCACCUCUCCCUUGUCCCUACACGCAAGCCUUUAUCUCCCACUCCAAAAAGUCAGGUGCUUCCAACAGGUGUGGGGACCUGGCUGUUUGUAGUUUUGUCAGUUUGGGUGUAAGGAGGGAGACAGUAAGCCAAUAUUGUCUUAGGUGUAGUCUUAUUGUUCAGCUACCUUGACAUAGCCUAGGAAGCUUCUUGCUCUUGCUGAUUUGUUCUUCAGGGGCAUUUUAUUGUUUAAUAAUGACCUUGGCUGCUUCUCAACAGCCUCCAUAAAGAUAAUAAUCUUGGAUCUGGGUGGGAAGGGCUGGAAACUUAUAGAUGUUCUGCUGGGGUGGCAGAUAGCAGAGGAUCCACUUUCAGGACUAGGUGGAAGUAGGGGAAAAUAAACUAUAACCCUAUUCUAUACAACAUUUGAAAGACAAAUCCUUUCACCUACUGAAGGUGUGGAGAAACUAGGACACUCACAUGUGGUUGGUGAGAAGGUAAUUAUACCGCAUGGGAACAGAUGGCAACAGAGAGGAUCAAGCAAAGCACUGUGGGACCAACUGACCAGAGGUACCCCAUGCACCAAACCACAGAGCAGCAUGUCUGCAGCUACAGAAGAAUGAAGUGCCUGUUGUCUCGCAAAGUUCUUCAGUAGGAUUUGGAGGCAAGUAGAGCCAUUAAUUAAUAAAAAGCAUAGCUUGUGGUAAUUAGCAGCAGCAACAAAAAUGUUUAGCGGAGCUUCCUCUUUUUAUCUUGAGGCAGUUCCUACAGACAGAUGCUUAGGAUUAAUGAAGUUUAAUGAGACCUGCAGCAGCUGGCUAAUUAGUCAGUGAGGAGGAAGUAGUAAUGACAAGAGAAAAAGGCUUUUACUCUUGUUUAUUAGCUCAGGUUUGGGACAGUUUUCUUAAACUGUGGGCUGUACCUUCAACCUCAAAGUGGUCCCAGAGCAAAUAAAAGUUUCAAAAAAAAAAAAAAAAAAAAAAA